UUAUCUUUUUCUUCUUUCUGCUGAAUUUCUUGAAAUAAUUAAGAACCCCAAGCACUUGUUUCCAUGUUUCCAUCAUAGGAACUUUGAUCUCCAAUCUCUUGAAUGGACCACAUAAAUUUUUUUUCUUUCCUAUGAUAUUUCUUUUUAUGAGGAAGGGGUUUUGCAUAUGAUCUUUUCUUCUUUCCUUUCUUCCUCUUUUUCUUAAUCUCCUCCCUCAAAUUUCUUUUUUUCUCUUUUCUUCUUUUCUUCUUUAUUUUUGCAUAUUUUUUCUUUUUUUCUUUUUUCUCAACCACUGCUUUUUCUUCCUCACUCAACCUUUUCUCCUCUAUCUUUACCUCUUUUAUCUCUAUCUUUUCCUCAUCAACAACCUUCUCUAUUUUUAUCUCUUCUCUCUUUUCUUCCUCUCUUUUCUCAUCAUCUCAUUUUAUCUUCUCCUCCUCUAUCUUUUCCUCAUAUAUCUCUAUCUCUUCUUCCUCUAUCAUUUCCUCCUCAAUAACCUUAUCAUUUUCAGAGAUAGUGGCUUGACAUUCCUCUUUAGGGUUAACUUCAGUAUUAACCCCAAUAAUACCCAGAGACUUCAACAUGCAAGAGAGUUGUUCCUGCC
rnacentral:lncRNA from 1 species